GUAGUUGUAUGCCCAGGCCUAUGCUCCAAGGAGGACAAUAUUUAAGAAGUCGGAGAAAGAGAAAAGCCCAAAAAAGAGGCAGAAGAACAGCCUGAGAGACAGAGCAAGUUUUUGUUGCAACAGACACAGAAGAGUAAAAAUAUCACCAACUGCUACAAGAAGAAGAGUAAGAGGAAGAAAAUCACAGAGAACUCUAAAAAAAGAGCUGAAAGCGCCCUAACUGACAGAGACAUGCGAUAGUUUUUCAGAAGAAGAUGGAACAGGGCAUUUCUACAGAGACAACAGGUAAAAAGUUCAGAGGUGGAAUGAACUUAGAAGCUGAUGGCGGGGACCAAAGGAAAUUAUUCUUGGAAGAAACAGUCCAUCUUCAUGAAUGACCCUUCACCCACAAAAUGUUCUUCUUUUUGAGUUGCCUUUAAUUGCUUUUGUCCCUCCUCAUACUCUCACAGAAAUUCUGUGAGGUUCUG
rnacentral:lncRNA from 1 species